rnacentral:rRNA from 1 species
AGUGAACGCUGGCGGUAGGCCUAACACAUGCAAGUCGAACGGCAGCACAGUAACAGCUUGCUCUUACGGGUGGCGAGUGGCGGACGGGUGAGGAAUACAUCGGAAUCUACUUUUUCGUGGGGGAUAACGUAGGGAAACUUACGCUAAUACCGCAUACGACCUACGGGUGAAAGCAGGGGAUCUUCGGACCUUGCGCGAUUGAAUGAGCCGAUGUCGGAUUAGCUAGUUGGCGGGGUAAAGGCCCACCAAGGCGACGAUCCGUAGCUGGUCUGAGAGGAUGAUCAGCCACACUGGAACUGAGACACGGUCCAGACUCCUACGGGAGGCAGCAGUGGGGAAUAUUGGACAAUGGGCGCAAGCCUGAUCCAGCCAUACCGCGUGGGUGAAGAAGGCCUUCGGGUUGUAAAGCCCUUUUGUUGGGAAAGAAAAGCAGCAGGUUAAUACCCCGCUGUUCUGACGGUACCCAAAGAAUAAGCACCGGCUAACUUCGUG